CAGCCCUCAGCAAACACGGUCUGUGCAUCUUCCCUGCUCCUGCAGAAAGCUUGGAAGAGCUGAAAGCUUGGCCUCCAGAACCCGGGGAUGCAGAAGUGGCUAAUUGUACAUGGCAUCUUGCUGGACUUGAAUGGCACUGAGGAAAAGCAAGUGUGAUUCAGCUGAAGGCUAUGUGGGUUUGUCAGCAGUCACAAAAUCCCACUUGGACAGCACAGGAGUGUGAAAUGACGCUUCUUGGAAAAAUUUUUCUACUGGUGGGCUGACAAGGAUCCAUGACAGCUGUCCUGCUUCUGACCUGCUACAGCAUGGAUAUCUGGCUCUGUCUCUAUAGGACUGUUCUUCAUUCAACAGAUUCCUUUGCAGAUUCAAUCUUCCUGGUAUAGCAGUUUCUCACUAAAGGAGGAAGGGAACAACUGGGAAUUUUCUGAUGAUGGAGAAAAGCAGGUCCAAGCCACCAGAUGCAGAGGCUUCUGUGACGUAUUUUGGGAUUAAGUAGGAAAUUGUCUGAAGGGAAGAAGAUAUGGAGACAUUUCUAAGGUAGUCAAAAUUGGUGGAGUAGUCAUGACAAGGAUCAUUGAAGUGGAAUGAGGUUGGAGCACAAGCUUAACACCUUAAGUGAACUGGACCAUCCAUUACGCCAUUAGGUUUCUGAGCUGUUGUAUCUGUUUCAAAACCACAGCAAAAUUAUGGCUGAUCUCAGUAGCUCGGGAUUUAACCUGUUAAAUCAAAAUGAACUCAAAAUGUUUCAUUUUAGAAAUGGAAGAAGUGUAGCAAUUCAUAUAUAGCCCAGAUUUGUCCAAGGAAGAAGGGGAGAAACAAACAAAACGUUCAGAACAGAGGGCAGUAGUGAGAAUCAGGUAUGUUUAAGAACAGUCUUUAGGUUUUCAUAUCCCAGAGGACUGCUGGGGAAGUGGUCUCACAUAAUUGAGUGGAAAUGCCGUCUUUCCUGAAAUAGAUAGUCUUGAAAAAAUAUUUGCUUUGAAAAAUCCAUUUUCUGGGAAGGAAGUAGAGCAGAAAAAGAUUUUCACCUUAAAUCUUUGUAAACAGCUGUACUUUAAGAACUGAGUCUAAAUAUAAAAACACAUUUGAAGAUAGUGUGAGCAUGGGUGAAUAUUUUUUUUUUACCUUCACAAUAAUAGACUAGACUUUACAAUAAUUAUGCCCAUAAAUUUUGCUUCUAAAACUAUUGAAAAUUGCAUAUGAGUUUGAUACUAGAGUGAUUUGUUUUUCUAUUAACUUUUCAGGAGCCCAAAUAUUUUCCCAAUAAAUGUUUGAUAU